rnacentral:rRNA from 1 species
CCUACGGGUGGCAGCAGUGGGGAAUAUUGGGCAAUGGGCGCAAGCCUGACCCAGCAACGCCGCGUGAAGGAAGAAGGCUUUCGGGUUGUAAACUUCUAUUCUGAGGGACGAAGAAAGUGACGGUACCUCAGGAAUAAGCCACGGCUAACUACGUGCCAGCAGCCGCGGUAAGACGUAGGGGGCAAUCGUGAUCCGGAUUUAUUGGGUGGAAAGGGCGUGUAGGCGGGAAAGCAAGGCAGAUGUGAAACCUCAGGGCCCAACCCUGAGACUGCAUUUGAAACUGUGUUUCUUGAGUGCUGGAGAGGCAAUCGGAAUUCCGUGUGUAGCGGUGAAAUGCGUAGAUAUACGGAGGAACACCAGCGGCGAAGGCGGAUUGCUGGACAGUAACUGACGCUGAGGCGCGAAAGCGUGGGGAGCAAACAGGAUUAGAUACCCCUGUAGUC